UACGAAGGGAGCUAGCGUUGUUCGGAAUUACUGGGCGUAAAGCGCACGUAGGCGGCUUUGUAAGUUAGGGGUGAAAGCCCAGGGCUCAACCCUGGAAUAGCCUUUAAGACUGCAUCGCUUGAACAUCGGAGAGGUAAGUGGAAUUCCGAGUGUAGAGGUGAAAUUCGUAGAUAUUCGGAAGAACACCAGUGGCGAAGGCGACUUACUGGACGAUUGUUGACGCUGAGGUGCGAAAGCGUGGGGAGCAAACAGG
rnacentral:rRNA from 1 species